AAAUUGAAGAGUUUGAUCAUGGCUCAGAUUGAACGCUGGCGGCAGGCUUAACACAUGCAAGUCGAACGGUAACAGGAAUCAGCUUGCUGAUUCGCUGACGAGUGGCGGACGGGUGAGUAAUGUCUGGGAAGCUGCCUGAUGGAGGGGGAUAACUACUGGAAACGGUAGCUAAUACCGCAUAACGUCGCAAGACCAAAGAGGGGAACCUUCGGGCCUCUUGCCAUCGGAUGUGCCCAGAUGGGAUUAGCUAGUAGGUGGGGUAACGGCUCACCUAGGCGACGAUCCCUAGCUGGUCUGAGAGGAUGACCAGCCACACUGGAACUGAGACACGGUCCAGACUCCUACGGGAGGCAGCAGUGGGGAAUAUUGCACAAUGGGCGCAAGCCUGAUGCAGCCAUGCCGCGUGUAUGAAGAAGGCCUUCGGGUUGUAAAGUACUUUCAGCGGGGAGGAAGGGAGUAAAGUUAAUACCUUUGCUCAUUGACGUUACCCGCAGAAGAAGCACCGGCUAACUCCGUGCCAGCAGCCGCGGUAAUACGGAGGGUGCAAGCGUUAAUCGGAAUUACUGGGCGUAAAGCGCACGCAGGCGGUUUGUUAAGUCAGAUGUGAAAUCCCCGGGCUCAACCUGGGAACUGCAUCUGAUACUGGCAAGCUUGAGUCUCGUAGAGGGGGGUAGAAUUCCAGGUGUAGCGGUGAAAUGCGUAGAGAUCUGGAGGAAUACCGGUGGCGAAGGCGGCCCCCUGGACGAAGACUGACGCUCAGGUGCGAAAGCGUGGGGAGCAAACAGGAUUAGAUACCCUGGUAGUCCACGCCGUAAACGAUGUCGACUUGGAGGUUGUGCCCUUGAGGCGUGGCUUCCGGAGCUAACGCGUUAAGUCGACCGCCUGGGGAGUACGGCCGCAAGGUUAAAACUCAAAUGAAUUGACGGGGGCCCGCACAAGCGGUGGAGCAUGUGGUUUAAUUCGAUGCAACGCGAAGAACCUUACCUGGUCUUGACAUCCACAGAACUUUCCAGAGAUGGAUUGGUGCCUUCGGGAACUGUGAGACAGGUGCUGCAUGGCUGUCGUCAGCUCGUGUUGUGAAAUGUUGGGUUAAGUCCCGCAACGAGCGCAACCCUUAUCCUUUGUUGCCAGCGGUCCGGCCGGGAACUCAAAGGAGACUGCCAGUGAUAAACUGGAGGAAGGUGGGGAUGACGUCAAGUCAUCAUGGCCCUUACGACCAGGGCUACACACGUGCUACAAUGGCGCAUACAAAGAGAAGCGACCUCGCGAGAGCAAGCGGACCUCAUAAAGUGCGUCGUAGUCCGGAUUGGAGUCUGCAACUCGACUCCAUGAAGUCGGAAUCGCUAGUAAUCGUGGAUCAGAAUGCCACGGUGAAUACGUUCCCGGGCCUUGUACACACCGCCCGUCACACCAUGGGAGUGGGUUGCAAAAGAAGUAGGUAGCUUAACCUUCGGGAGGGCGCUUACCACUUUGUGAUUCAUGACUGGGGUGAAGUCGUAACAAGGUAACCGUAGGGGAACCUGCGGUUGGAUCACCUCCUUACCUUAAAGAAGC
rnacentral:rRNA from 1 species